GUCGUUAGUAUAUGUUCAAUUAUUUAUUAUUAUCCAUUUAUAUCGUCAAUAAUUUAUUAUCCUUACAUAAAUCGUUAUUUGAGCUUCACUUAAAGGAUAAACUAGUUUUUAAUCGAUUUUAUAUGUGUAUCAUAUCACAGUUGCUACAGUUUCAUGUGUUAAUUAUAUUAUUUUUAUUAUAUUACGUCAACAAAUAGAGUAAAAUGAACUAAAAUACGUAGUUACACAAAGAAACGAAAAAUUUUUCCCGAAUUUUGAUCGUCCUUCAUUAAAAGUGCAAUCGUGAUUCCAUUGUAAUUAAUCGUCAGCGGAUGAUCGAGCCAAUGCAGUUUCAGUAUACAUACGUAACAACGUAUGAAAAAGUGAAUAUGCAAAGUAAAUAGUUCUUCCAAGAAGGUUUAAGAGAAAUAUACCGAUUGCUGUGAUUAGCUUCAGAAGUACCCCAAAUGUAGCCGUCAAUAUAUACAUGGCAAUUGCAAGGCACAUUUUUUAUAAAAGCCAUUAAUUACUACUACACAUAUAUAUGUGUGUGUAUGUAUAUAUAUGUAUAUAUAUAUACACAUACAUGUUAUAUGUGUUUGUAAAGAAUAAAGGAAAAACGGGAAAACCAAUAUAUAUCGAAUAUAAUUAAAAACGAGAUUUCGAUAAUCAAUUGUUAACGUAGUAAUAUAUAUAUAUACAUUUCCUGUACAAAUUAUCAGGUGUAUCAUAUUUAAUAUGUUUCUUAUCAACAUAAAAUUUAUUUUAUUUUAGACUGUGUGUGCACGCGAACAUGAACGCGCAUGUUGUUUAAAUUGGCGUGUACUUUAGCCUGUUACGUGCUAUGUGCACUGCAGAUUAUUGACAUUAUGUAUAGUGCUAAAAUAUAAUGCCAGUUACCCAGAUUCAAUGUAAAGAAUGUAGUCGUCAUUUGCGUUUAAUAAUUUUGAUACAGCAAUAUAAUUGGGUAAAAAGAAAAUGUUUCAUACUAAUACCAAAGAGAAAAUUUCUCUGCUAAUACGUGUAGUAUAUACAUACAUAUGUGUAUACUUAUUUAUGUAGGUGGAAGGAAAUUUGUUAUUUGAUAACAAUGUUUCAUGAAACUUGCGUUACCAGUUCAUUUAUAAUAGAACAAAAACGAACUUAAAUGAUGAUUUGCGAAGAUCUAAAACAUAACCGUUAUACGAAAUUAUAAUUAUACAAGUAAGUAUGAAUUCAAAUAUGUCGACGUGUGCAUGUCUUGAUCUUCAUGUACUUCAUAUUUUACAUCGAUAUUUUCCUAGCGAAACUUGAAUCUUCCUUUCGAGAUGGUAAAGCACCUGAUGGUAAAGAUGGUAACACAAUGUCAAAAUACUGUAGUUGAUACAUGUCAAUCUGUUUGUUCUCGAUUCUGAUUUUUAGUAAAUAUUGAUAUUUAAAAUAUUUAUUUAAGCUACUGUUGAUAUAUGUACCCACCUGUGUCUUGAUGCGUCAACAUAGUGUAAACAUAUUUGUUAAUAUUAUUGUCGUAGUUAAUAUUUGUAUAUCAUUCUGAUGUAUCUUUCGAUUAGUUUUUCCAGGAAUCCUGUAUUUUCUAUAAAUAUAUCAUGUUAAUACUAAUUUUCCCAAUUUUUUAUCGGGGAUAGGAAGUGGUGAGACAGAGAAAAGAGAAAGGGGAGGCGGGAGAGAAAAAAGAUAAGUAAGUGGGGGAGAAGUAAGAAAUAUGAUUGUAUGCUCAUAUGCAUGAUUGAUUCGGUAUAACUCGUUUGUAAAAAUGACGCGUGUUUUAUUAUGCAUAGAUAUUUCACUGUCAAACCGUCUAUCUUCGUUUAGCUUUUUUCUUACAUAGUAUUAAAGGUAGAUAUUAAAUUGUGUCAAACAGCGAGACAUACAUACUUAUAGUAGAAUACAGACUGUUGGAUGGACGUGAAAUAUGUAAUAUUAACAAGAAUGGUCUAGAAUUUUUCGGCAUGACAUUCGGAGCGACGACUCAGGAGAGAUAGGUAACUGAAGAGGAGUUAAUGAUGCAAGAGAAAGAAAGUGGAUAAAACAGGUGAUUUAGGAAGAAAACAUUUCAGAAGUAAAUGGUGGAAAUAAUGUUGCAGAUCUGUGCAUAAAAAAUGUGCGUGAAAAAUAAAAUAAAAAUAAGGCAAAGGUAAAGCAUGCGUGAAAAGAAAUAGAAAUAAGAGAGAAAAGAAACAGGAAAAGAUAAAAGUUAAGAUUAAGGAUCAAAAAGUGUUGAAAGAGUGGAGAAAGAUACAAGUUUUGACCGGUGAAUCUUACUUUCGACGAUUCGCGACAUCCCACGCGCAAGCUAUUAAGGCAUUUACUGUUAAAUCUCCAGGAACAACAUUGGCUUCUAUGGAUCCAUCGCAAUGAAUCGAUCGUAAGACCCCGGUACCAGCCCCAGCUGCAACACCUGUUGGUCCGUACAAGUUGUCGAUCCAUCCUCGCACCGGUUCUUGGUAUGUUGAUAUCACUGAAAAUUCCAUCAAAUGUCCAAUCAAAUUAA